rnacentral:rRNA from 1 species
AGCAGUAGCCGCGGUAAUACGUAGGUGGCAAGCGUUGUCCGGAUUUAUUGGGCGUAAAGCGAGCGCAGGCGGUCAAUUAAGUCUGAUGUGAAAGCCCCCGGCUCAACCGGGGAGGGUCAUUGGAAACUGGUUGACUUGAGUGCAGAAGAGGAGAGUGGAAUUCCAUGUGUAGCGGUGAAAUGCGUAGAUAUAUGGAGGAACACCAGUGGCGAAGGCGGCUCUCUGGUCUGUAACUGACGCUGAGGCUCGAAAGCGUGGGUAGCAAACAGGAUUAGAUACCCCGUAGUCCCUGUCUCUUAUACA